GAUGAAGAACGCAGCGAAAUGCGAUAAGUAAUGCGAAUUGCAGAAUUUCCGUGAGUCAUCGAAUCUUUGAACGCACAUUGCGCCCACUGGUAUUCCGGUGGGCAUGCCUGUUCGAGCGUCAUUACAACCCUCAAGCUUUGCUUGGUAUUGGACAUUGCCAGUUUCUGGCAGGUCUUAAAAUCAGUGGCGGUGCCAUUUGGCUUCAAGCGUAGUAAUUCUUCUCGCUUUGGAGAUCCAGGUGGUUACUUGCCAAUAACCCCCAAUUUUUUCAGGUUGACCUCGGAUCAGGUAGGGAUACCCGCUGAACUUAAGCAUAUCAAUAAGCGGAGGA
rnacentral:misc_RNA from 1 species